rnacentral:rRNA from 1 species
CCAAUAGCGUAUAUUAAAGUUGUUGCAGUUAAAAAGCUCGUAGUUGAAUUUCGGGAUCAGUUGAUCGGUCGUGCCUCGGUACGUACUGGUCAAAUUGAUUCCUACCUUCUGACGAACCACGAUGUCAUUAAUUUGGUGUCGCGGGAAAUCAGGACUGUUACUUUGAAAAAAUUAGAGUGUUUAAAGCAGGCUCGCGCUUG